rnacentral:rRNA from 1 species
UACGUAGGGAGCGAGCGUUGUCCGAAGUUACUGGGCGUAAAGCGCGCGUAGGCGGGGUUUGAAAGUCGGAGGUGAAAUGCUGGGGGCUCAACUCCAUGCAGUGCCUCCGAUACUUCAAGUCUUGAGUGCGGUAGGGAGAAGUGGAAUGGCUGGUGUAGCGGUGAAAUGCGUAGAUAUCAGUCGGAACACCGGUGCGAAGGCCGGGCUUCGUUGGGCCG